UCGCGUGGGGGGGCGUAAGAUUGCACCUCGAACGAGCUUAUAUCUUGCUUGCAGAUAAGCGGCUAGUGGCCCCCUUAAGAGUACACGUAGGAAAUCUGCCUAUCAGAGUGUCCUUUCAGAGAGAAAUCAUUGCUAAUACCGCAUAUGCCAUAGGGUUCGCAUGAACCUAGUGGGAAAGGAGCAAUCCCCUGAUAGAUGAGCUUGCGUCUGAUUAGCUAGUUGGUGGGGUUUUUUUCUACCAAGGCAACGAUCAGUAGCCGGACUGAUAGGUUGAACGGCCACAUUGGGACUGAGAUACGGCCCAGACUCCUACGGGAGGCAGCAGUCGGGAAUAUUGCGCAAUGGAGGAAACUCUGACGCAGUGACGCCGCGUAUAGGAAGAAGGUUUUCGGAUUGUAAACUAUUGUCCACAGGUAUUAUAAAAGACUGUACCUGUGAAGAAAGCUCCGUGUUAUCUACGUGCCAGCAGCCGCGGUAAUACGUAUGGAUUUUGCGUUAUCCGGAAUUAUUGGGUGUAAAGGGUGCGUAGACGGGAUAACAAGUUGGUUGUGAAACCCCUCGGCUUAACUGAGGAACUGCAACCAAAACUAUUAUUCUUGAGUGCCUGAGAGGAAAGUGGAAUUCCUAGUGUACCGGCGAACUGCGUAUAUAUUAUGAAGAACACCGGUGGCGAAGGCGACUCUUCUGGACUGUAACUGACGUUGAUGCACGAAAGUGUGUAGAACAAACAGGAUUAAAUACCCUGGUAAU
rnacentral:rRNA from 1 species